UAGUCCACGCUGUAAACGAUGUCGAUUUGAAGGUUGUUCCCUUGAGGAGUGGCUUUCGGAGCUAACGCGUUAAAUCGACCGCCUGGGGAGUACGGCCGCAAGGUUAAAACUCAAAUGAAUUGACGGGGGCCCGCACAAGCGGUGGAGCAUGUGGUUUAAUUCGAUGCAACGCGAAGAACCUUACCUACUCUUGACAUCCAGAGAAUUUAGCAGAGAUGCUUUAGUGCCUUCGGGAACUCUGAGACAGGUGCUGCAUGGCUGUCGUCAGCUCGUGUUGUGAAAUGUUGGGUUAAGUCCCGCAACGAGCGCAACCCUUAUCCUUUGUUGCCAGCACGUAAUGGUGGGAACUCAAAGGAGACUGCCGGUGAUAAACCGGAGGAAGGUGGGGAUGACGUCAAGUCAUCAUGGCCCUUACGAGUAGGGCUACACACGUGCUACAAUGGCGUAUACAAAGAGAAGCGAACUUGCGAGAGUAAGCGGAACUCAUAAAGUACGUCGUAGUCCGGAUUGGAGUCUGCAACUCGACUCCAUGAAGUCGGAAUCGCUAGUAAUCGUAGAUCAGAAUGCUACGGUGAAUACGUUCCCGGGCCUUGUACACACCGCCCGUCACACCAUGGGAGUGGGUUGCAAAAGAAGUAGGUAGCUUAACCUUCGGGAGGGCGCUUACCACUUUGUGAUUCAUGACUGGGGUGAAGUCGUAACAAGGUAACCA
rnacentral:rRNA from 1 species